GGCUACGAGGACGAACGCUGGCGGCGUGCCUAACACAUGCAAGUCGAACGGAGUUAAUGAUUUCGGUUGUUAACUUAGUGGCGAACGGGUGAGUAACGCGUGAACAACCUGACCCAAAGAGGGGGAUAACAUUUGGAAACAGAUGCUAAUACCGCAUAAGACCACAACGUCACAUGGCGAAGGGGUCAAAGGAGCAAUCCGCUUUGGGAGGGGUUCGCGUCCCAUUAGGUAGAUGGCGGGGUAACGGCCCACCAUGCCAACGAUGGGUAGCCGAGCUGAGAGGCUGAUCGGCCACACUGGAACUGAGACACGGUCCAGACUCCUACGGGAGGCAGCAGUGGGGAAUAUUGGGCAAUGGGCGCAAGCCUGACCCAGCAACGCCGCGUGAGGGAAGAAGGCCUUUGGGUCGUAAAGCUCUGUCCUGAAGGAAGAAGGAAGUGACGGUACUUCAGGAGGAACGCCCCGGCUAACUACGUGCCAGCCGCCGC
rnacentral:rRNA from 1 species